rnacentral:rRNA from 1 species
AUUGAACGCUGGCGGCAGGCCUAACACAUGCAAGUCGAGCGAGCGGCGGACGGGUGAGUAAUGUCUGGGAAACUGCCUGAUGGAGGGGGAUAACUACUGGAAACGGUAGCUAAUACCGCAUACCAUCAGAUGUGCCCAGAUGGGAUUAGCUAGUAGGGGGGGUAACGGCUCACCUAGGCGUCGAUCCCUAGCUGGGCUGAGAGGAUGACCAGCCACACUGGAGCGGAGAGACGGUCCAGACUCAGAAGGGAGGCAGCAGUGGGGAAUAUUGCACAAUGGGCGCAAGCCAGAUACAGACAUGCCGCGUGUGUGAAGAAGGGGUUCGGGUUGUAAAGCACUGUAAGCGGGGAGGCGUUACCCGCAGAAGAAGCACCGGCUAACUCCGUGCCAGCAGCCGCGGUAAUUC